GAAAUAACAUAUUUUUUGUUGCAAGAUGUUGUACUAUUAUUUUUCUUUUGGAAAUAUUUGUCGGUUAAAUAGCAUAAUAAUAAUAAAUGAUUAUAAUAAUAACAAACUUAAUUAUUCAAUUUAAUAAUAGUAAUAAUGAUAACAAAAUUCUUUUUUUUGACUUUUUUUUUCUUUUAAUAUUAAUAAUAGCAAUAUUUAAGACAAUGAUAAUAGUAUACCUAAUGAAAUUAAUAGUAAAACUAACUAACAAAUAUUUUUUUGAUUUUUCAUUUUUAUAAUA
rnacentral:lncRNA from 1 species